ACUACUACAUCAAAAUGAACAAGCAGAACUAAGUAGUAUUGCAUUUCAAAAUUCUACGUGAAUAAUCAACAUUCAUGGUAAAAAACCAAUUAUUCAUUCAUAAAAUUUCCAGGCCAUUGCAGCUUCCAUACUUGCGCUUCAUAUAUAAUAGAUCCAAGGCAUACAUGGAUUCAAUCUGGUUCUAAUUUGUAGUGCAUCCACUUCUUAACAGUGGUUUGAAGGAAAAUACCUGGGAAUGGGAAGGCAAAGGGAAAGGGUCAGGAAUCAACAAUAAAUCAGCACCAAUAAACAAAACAACCCAGAUUCAACUAAAAUCAGUAAUAAAUUCAAUCCAUUGACUAAAAUCAGAGCAACAACCAAGAGGAAUGUUGUUCAAAAAAGACUUCAAUGUUUUUUGGAAGAACUUUCAAUGGAACAGUAAGUUUUCCUCAAUUUUCUGCUAUUUUUUCAGAUUUUUCUAUCACUUAGCUCUCUUUUUUUGUUCACCUCGCAGAAACCCUUAGCUUUUUCUCUCAUUGCCUUUAUAUGCUGAAUAUUAGGGCAAUCUUCAGAAUUUAUUUUUACUCUAUAGUCCCUCAUUUUAUGACUUGGUAAAGAAGUUAAUCACCAAAAACCUUGAAAUCCAAUUUGAACCCCACACUAGAAGCUUCCUAGGCAGUUACCAAAAGAUUCUCUGCCCAAAACUUCCUAAACUACCCUCCCAGUACCCUUGCAAUUACAUUGCACUCAAGUGGGCUGUGGAUCAAAUUGGACCUGGGUCGAGCCUACUGGACAACCAUCCCAGAUCCUGGAUUGAAAGGCAUAAACCUUCAACCCAAAAUUGUAAUGACCCUACCUUCAGACUUGGAUUACUUUUAAUUAUUUUAAAGUUGGCAGCUAAUACUAUGGAAUAUUGGUCAGACAGGAGAAGAAAAUAAACAUACUAAUUAAGCUAAAUGGAAUGGGCUACAAUCCUUAAUUUCGAACCUAAAACCUAAGAAGGUAAACAGGCCAGAAGUCAAAGUGUAACUGAUGAAACCUGAAGGAAAACAGGAUUUGAAAUAAAGAGAUUCAAAUACAAGGUGAAAUUCAUAUUAACAACAAGGCCCUACCACCUGACUAAAAUCUAGUAGUUCAAUUUCAAACAGAGAUUGAAAAUCAAUUAGACUUGUAAACCUUCGACCUAAAAAAAUUGACAUGAUAACCCUAAAUUAAUAAAGCUCCUAACACUAUUUAAUUAAACCAAACUGAAGCCCUUAC
rnacentral:lncRNA from 1 species